GAUGAACGCUAGCUACAGGCUUAACACAUGCAAGUCGAGGGGAAACGAUGAGAGAGCUUGCUCUCUUAGGCGUCGACCGGCGCACGGGUGAGUAACGCGUAUCCAACCUGCCCAUUACAGGGGAAUAACCUUGCGAAAGUAAGACUAAUGCCCCAUGGUAUUCUCAGCAGACAUCUAAUGAGGAUUAAAGAUUUAUCGGUAAUGGAUGGGGAUGCGUCUGAUUAGCUUGUUGGCGGGGUAACGGCCCACCAAGGCGACGAUCAGUAGGGGUUCUGAGAGGAAGGUCCCCCACAUUGGAACUGAGACACGGUCCAAACUCCUACGGGAGGCAGCAGUGAGGAAUAUUGGUCAAUGGACGAGAGUCUGAACCAGCCAAGUAGCGUGCAGGACGACGGCCCUAUGGGUUGUAAACUGCUUUUAUAGGGGAAUAAAGUGAUCCACGUGUGGAUUAUUGUAUGUACCCUAUGAAUAAGGACCGGCUAAUUCCGUGCCAGCAGCCGCGGUAAUACGGAAGGUUCGGGCGUUAUCCGGAUUUAUUGGGUUUAAAGGGAGCGUAGGCCGUAGAUUAAGCGUGUUGUGAAAUGUAGAUGCUCAACAUCUGACUUGCAGCGCGAACUGGUUUACUUGAGUGUGCGCAACGUAGGCGGAAUUCGUCGUGUAGCGGUGAAAUGCUUAGAUAUGACGAAGAACUCCGAUUGCGAAGGCAGCUUACGGGAGCACAACUGACGCUGAAGCUCGAAGGUGCGGGUAUCAAACAGG
rnacentral:rRNA from 1 species